UACGAAGGGGGCGAGCGUUGUUCGGAUUUACUGGGCGUAAAGGGCGCGCAGGCGGCUCAUUUUGUCAGGCGUGAAAUCCCCGGGCUUAACCUGGGAAUGGCGAUGGUGACUGCAAGGCUAGAGUCUGGCAGAGGGGAGUAGAAUUCCACGUGUAGCAGUGAAAUGCGUAGAGAUGUGGAGGAACACCGAUGGCGAAGGCAGCCCCCUGGGUCAAAACUGACGCUCAUGCACGAAAGCGUGGGGAGCAAACAGG
rnacentral:rRNA from 1 species